AAAUCAAAUCACACAUUCACCCACGAGCCCGAGUAUAUAAUUUGUUUUCAAAUUCGAUCCCAAAAUAAGAUCUAAAUCAAGAAAAAUCAAAAAGCCCUAACUCUACCCAAAUACCCAAUUUUCUACCUUAAAUUUCGACCCCAAAACAAGGUCUAAAUCAAGAAAAAUCAAAAAGCCCUAACUCUUGCCAAAUACCCAAUUCUCUACCCUAAAUCACAUGUUUUAGGCCUAGAAUUUUAAUAGAUGUUGAAGGAAAUGGAAGAAAAUAAGCUAAGAAUUACUAACCCAAGAGGUUGGUGAAUUAUUUCUUCAAUGGUCGACUAAGAGCUUGG
rnacentral:lncRNA from 1 species